GCUUAUCACCAUUCCAGAUUGAAUAUACCCGAUCUCGUCUGAUCUCGGUAGUCAAGCAAUCUCGGGCUUGGUUAGUACUUGGAUGGGUGACCGCUUGGGAAUAUCAAGUGUGAUAAGCA
rfam:Ciona savignyi cont_37857, whole genome shotgun sequence.